rnacentral:rRNA from 1 species
UACGGGGGGAGCAAGCGUUGUUCGGAUUUACUGGGCGUAAAGGGCGCGUAGGCGGCCACCGCAAGUCAGUUGUGAAAGCUCUGGGCUUAACCCAGAAAGGUCAGCUGAUACUGCGGGGCUAGAGUGCAGAAGGGGCAACUGGAAUUCUCGGUGUAGCGGUGAAAUGCGUAGAUAUCGAGAGGAACACCUGCGGCGAAGGCGGGUGGCUGGGCUGACACUGACGCUGACAGCGCGAAAGCUAGGGGAGCGAACGGG